UCUGAGUCUCUUCAGUAACUGCCGCCCGUGCUGCCCAUACUGAAAGAAGAUCUCUGGCCACGGCUGAGAGCAGACUGUUGCCUGUGUAGCCACCACAGCACACGAAGUCAUAAUGCUUACAAGAAAUCAAAGAAGAGAGUGGAGAGGCUGUGGCAGCCUUGAGAUUUUUCGAAGCCCCAGAAGGCAUUUCAGCAUUUGGCCUCAGAGACCAAAGGAAGCAUCGAACUCUGGAGGAGGACUUGCUUAAUGAUUUGAGUGUGUCACAGAGACUGAGGAGUUUCUGGGAAGCAGGCUCCUCACUCAGGCAUGGCGGGGCAGAAGCAGCCCUGCUGACUACUGGAGUCCAUUUAGCCCGCUCUCCCAAGUGGACACACCCAGGAAGAGCCAGCGGUGCCAGACCACGAGAGAAGAGAGAAACAGCGUGGGUGUUCUCACGCCCAACUAACCAGGCCCUUACCUUUUCUACUCACGGUGCUUUUUUCUUUUUUUAAAAACUAGGGUCUCAAUUAUCUUAGGUUGGCUUGUUAUCGCUAUGUAGCCAAGGAUAGCCUUAUAUUUCCAAGUGCUAGGGUUACAGGUGUGUGCCACCAUUCGCAGUUUAUGUGGCACUGGGAAUGCAACCCGGGGCUUUGUGCACGUUAGGGAUGCACUUUUACCAGUUGAGCUACAUUCCCAUGAUGCAUCUCAACUGUUGACAUUUCGUCUAGGCUCCGCCCCACAGUUGCCUGGCAACAGCCAGGCGUGCCUGACUCGCCAUAAAAAGGGGCUGCUGCUCCCUCCUCACUCUCUUGCUCCCUUACUCUCUUCCCCUUCUUUCCCCACUCCCCUCCCAUGUGCUCAUGGCCGGCCUCCCCUCUUCCCCCCCCCCUCUGCCUUUCUCCCUCUCUACUCCCUC
ensembl:lncRNA